rnacentral:rRNA from 1 species
AUUGAACGCUGGCGGCAGGCCUAACACAUGCAAGUCGGGCGAGCGGCGGACGGGUGAGUAAUGUAUGUGGACCUGCCUGAUGGCGGGGGAUAACUACUGGAAACAGUAGCUAAUACCGCAUACCAUCAGAUGAACCCAGAUGGGAUUAGCUUGUAGGUGAGGUAACGGCUCACCUAGGCGACGAUCCCUAGCUGGUCUGUGCGGAUGAUAAGCCACACUGGAAUGGAGCCGCGGCACAGUCUCCUACGGUAGGGGGCAGUGGGGAAUGUUACACAAGUGGAUCGAGGUAGACACAGACAUGCCAAGUGUAUGAAGAAGGCAUGCGCGUUGGAGUGUAAAUCUGGUCGGGAGGAGUUACCGAAAGAAGAAGGACCGGCUAACUCCGUGCCAGCAGCCGCGGUAAUAC